rnacentral:rRNA from 1 species
UACGGGGGGAGCAAGCGUUGUUCGGAUUUACUGGGCGUAAAGGGCGCGUAGGCGGCCAGCACAAGUCAGUUGUGAAAUCUCCGAGCUUAACUCGGAAAGGUCAACUGAUACUGUGCGGCUAGAGUGCGGAAGGGGCAACUGGAAUUCUUGGUGUAGCGGUGAAAUGCGUAGAUAUCAAGAGGAACACCUGCGGCGAAGGCGGGUUGCUGGGCCGACACUGACGCUGAGGCGCGAAAGCUAGGGGAGCGAACAGG